rnacentral:tRNA from 1 species
GAGAAGGGUUAAGAAACAANGAAACUG